GGAAAAAACACUUAACCAUGAAAGCCUGGCGCUCCAACCGCAGCACAGAAGGCACAAAAGGUGAAGCAAAUAGACAUGAAAGCCAGAGUCCACUGUGUACAUCAAAGGUGUUCCAGGCGCCACCUGCUGGGCAGUUCCAGUAACAGCAGCCAGGAUCUGUGUGAAGAGCAACAGAGAGGAGUGAGCCCACGCUCCAAACAGGACCCACCCAGAGAGAACAGGGGAAGGAGGGCAAAG